rnacentral:snRNA from 1 species
GUGCUCGCUUCGGCAGCAUAUAUACUAAAA